UCUUGCGCAAUGGCCUGAGGGCUGACGCAGCGACGCCGCGUGCGGGAGGACGCCCCUCGGGGUGUAAAACGCUGUCGCCCGGGACGAAGCCUGGGGGAGCCCCAGGUUGACGGUACCGGGGGAGGAAGCACCGGCUAACUCCGUGCCAGCAGCCGCGGUAAUACGGCGGGUGCGAGCGUUGUCCGGAAUCACUGGGCGUAAAGGGCGCGUAGGCGGCCCGCCGAGCGUGCGGUGAAAGUCCGGGGCUCAACCCCGGAUCGGCCGUGCGGACCGGCGGGCUCGAGCACGGUAGAGGCGGGCGGAAUUCCGGGUGUAGCGGUGGAAUGCGUAGAGAUCCGGAAGAACACCGGUGGCGAAGGCGGCCCGCUGGGCCGGGGCGCGAGCCUGAGAGCUGACGCUGAGGCGCGACAGCGUGGGGAGCAAACAGG
rnacentral:rRNA from 1 species